rnacentral:lncRNA from 1 species
AUGGGCCCUGGAAUGAAGGCUGUGGGCUGUCUUGAACCCCAGACUGGGGAAUUCAGAUUUUAUUUGCAACAUGCCAGGGAAUUUUGUUUUCCAGUAACGACUUGUGCAGUAAUUGUGAACUUCCUCUUACAGCAGAGAUCUAACUCCCCACUUCCCUGGAAGGGAGGCCUGUACACUGCUGGUGAGUCACGCCGUGCUGUUGCAAUACUCACCUGGCCACGACCUCAGCGGAGCCCUGUCCCUGCAUGCAGGAGCUCUUUGGGGCUCAGUGAUUCAGCUGCAUCAGAGGACUUGUGCCUUUCCCCUGUGCCCAGCUGUGUGUAUCCGAGGAAGCAUUUCUGCCUGCUGGGGAGUGAAUCACCCAGGAGUGGCUCACCCAGCCCUGCCUGCUGCGAGCAGGAAGGGGAAUGGAAGAGAGGAGGAGUGUGGGCAGCCUUCCUCCUGCUCUUGGGACUGGGGCUGCUUUGCAAUGCCACGCACGGGUUCUGCAGAGGGACAAGAAUCAAGUGGGGAUGGAGGCCUUGGCUGCUCCUGCACAGCCCUGCAAGGCACUCUGUGGCUGUCACCCUGAGCAGAGAGCAGCCAGCCUGCCCUGUGCAUGGGCUGCAGCUUGUCCCAAGCCCUGUGGCUCCUUCUCUGCUGGUGCUUCAGGCAAGCUGGGACACGGCCACCGCACUGGGGACAUGGCUGUGUCACACACUGAGCUGGGCUGAUCCCUGCCAGUUCCCACAGGAGCUGCAGGCUGGGGAUUUUCCAGAUGGGGAAACUGGUGCAGGGCCAUCCAGCUGUCUCCCACAGGCAGUGUGGGGCAUUCUGUGUGGAUGGAGCAAACUCUCCUUGUGUUCUUUCUGCUGUGCUAUUUCAUUUGCUGUAGACUGCAUUUGCUGUUCACUGGCUCAGAGCAGUUAAGAGCAUCUAAUUUAAGAACUACUACAAUAAAAACAACUUGUGGCAACGACACCAGUUUUAAAAGAAAGCCAGUUGGUGAGUCUUCCUCUUUGACCUGUCUGUUUUGGUAGCAUGAUGAGCAUUAGUCACUUGAAGCAAAAUCCUCUUUGCACUACCAGGUCCUGGGAGAACGGAGUUAGGAGUUGUAGGUAAGGCUGCUUUGGGCUGCCCAAAAAGAUAAUGUGGUGGGUAAGCCUGGUGAGCAUCUGUUUAGAUGGGAUUUACAAAAAUAUGUCCCUAACAGGUCAGAGCAGCCCUAUGGCCAGUCACUGAAAGGCCUGCUGCACUCAGAAAGGGCAGGACCAGGUGUUGGGGACCACAGACAUCCCACCUGGGGUUCCCCUACGUGGAGCUGCUCUGUGCUUGGCUGUGACUCUAACUUGAGUUUUCUGGUGGGAAUAUUGGCCAGGAUUAUUGGGCCUUGCUGCUGGCUCCAUUCAGUGAUCUGAACAGCAGCAAAGCUGUGUCUGAUCUGGAAACAGGUCCCUGAAGGACAGCAUGGUUGCACUUACCUCAUCCUGCAUCACAUCAGACUGCUUGUAGCCUCCAUUCUCGGGCUGUAUUAUGGCUUAUCCCACCCAUCCAUGCCUCCCUUAUUUGAUACCAAGCAAUGGGGUUGUUCUCUCCUGGUCCUGGGCAGAAGGGAACCUCACCCUUGUAGUGUCACCAUCCUUCGAGCACCUUGUUGGUGCUGUUGCUGCUGGCAGACACAUGCACGUGCCUGGUGCUGAGGCACCCUGGGACAAGGGCUGUGAGGUGCUGAGGUAAUUCUCACCAUCAAUAACUGCAGGGGAUGAAUCUCAGAUCACAUCUCUGGGGCAAGGCGAGGGACCUGCAGCUCAUGUAUUCCUGGCACGGGAAUCAAUAAUAAAAUUACAGCCCCUGAAAGUUCAGUGAUAAGCCUGACAGCGAUAGGUGUGGGGAGGGAAUUUCCUACAAACUGCUGACUAUAAACAUGGCUAAUAAUAUUAUUCUGAGAGGAUCUGAUUCAUGAUUUAUUAGACUUGUGUGGAACAGGCCCAUA